GGGCCGUUAGCUCAGCUGGUAGAGCAGGGGACUCUUAAUCCCUUGGUCGUAGGUUCGAAUCCUACACGGCCCACCA
rnacentral:tRNA from 5 species